CUUUUGAUUGUCCACAGAUCUGCUUCUUUUUCAUAUCAGGAAAGACCCUGGGAAGGACCAUUUGCAGAAACUCAUUCUGCCUGUUUUCUUUCAUGAAAAUCCUAGAUCUGAAUUGUUCUUCAAAGAUCUUUUAUUCCUCUUUGCAGAAGCAGACAAAAUUCUAGGAGUUCAUGGGAGGCCUCUCAGUCCUAAGCCCUUAAAGGAGAAAUAUUACUGAACAUUCCUUCAAUCUCUUCCUAAGAAGAAGGUGGAAUGGCUCCAGUUCCUCCGUCACUAAGGAUUCUCCGGGUUACAACCUGCACAAAUGGUGAGACUUGGACCCAGAGGGAAGAAGAUCACGUGAGGACGGAGGCAGAGGUUGGCAUUAUGCUUCCACAAGCCAAGGAAUGCCAGGACCCAUCAGAAGUUGGAAAAGGCAAGAAAAGAUUCUCUUCUAGCACCUUCGAUGGAGGGUGGCCAUGCUGACACCUCAGUUUCAGAAUGUUGGCCUCCAGAAUGGUGAGUGAAUAAGUUUCUAUUUUUCUAAGCUACCCAGUUUGUGGCAUUUUGUUAUGGCAGCCCCAGGAAACUAAUAUAUAUACCCAAUCACCUUUCUGAAUGUAUUUCUCCAUAGAAUGAAUGUUGUAAAGGGAGGUUAUAUUCCAGUUACAGCCCACAAAAAGUAUCUAGUGCCUAAUAUAGUUGAAACAUAACACUAUCAAAUUAAAUGUCGUUAAAGCAGUCUCUCAUGGAAAGUUCAACCUAUAUACUGGGCCAGAGGGAUUCUGCCUUCCUUGGUCCCAUGCAGACAGACAUGGAGACAGUUCCCUAUUCUGCCAGGAGACGGCGCUUUCGGCAGUGAGUCUUACAAAAUUAAGUGAGCAUCUUUAACUCAGCCAACAUUUAAUGACCGCCUAUUGUGCUGGUAUACGGUGGUGGAUCACACCAAGUCCAUCCUGCAUGGGAUGAACAGCUCAGUGGAAGAUAAGGAAAAUAGGCGUUUGGGGAGGAUGGUAAAUGUGAACUGCAUAGAAUCCUGUUGGGACUGGUGAAGAGACGCUAGGUUUUGGGGGUGGGGGAAAGGGAGGGGAAGGGUGGCCAUUUCUGCUAGGUGAAGAAAAUCUAGGAAGUUUACAUUGUCAUUGUCAUAGCUUGAGGAAUUGCCUUAUGUACACUUAGGAGAGAAAUUUUCCCAAGAGGUCUCUUGCAAAUUCCUCUGAGAUUCUAGCCACUUCUGUAUCAUUUUUAGUGCCAGCUCACCUUACUUCUUAUUCAUGCCAGGCCAGGAAAACAGAUUUGUGACUGAAAUUUGAUUACCAUACAUUUGUAGGAUCGGUAGGAUUGUGACCUCGAAUCAGUUUAAUUGGCCUAAUCCAUUGGAGCCGAGUAAUUGAAUGCCAGCAAAAAUGAGUCCCAAACUAUUGGCAGUGGCUUGCUUUCUGGUAGGAAGAUUGUUUUAAUGUGGUAAAUGGAUGUUUUAGGGUCAUCAGUUAAUUUCUUUUACGUCCCACAUGUUAAUAGUCAGAGGAAACAAUUGUAUACCUAACUGACAAAGAUACAAGAUGUUGAUUCUAUGGCAAAUUCCUUGGAAUGAGAAAAUCUGGGAGAGUAGUCCAACAGCAGUGACUUUAAUAUUUCCAUUUAACAAUGAGGCAGAUGUAUAUCUACCUAAUAUCUUGGAGGGUAGGAUAUUGAUUUCCAAGGCCAAGGUAAGGACAUACGAUGUGGACAAUUGUGAGGUAACAGUGAGAAAGGGCUUAAACCUUUCCUGAGAAUUGUUCCCAGUUGCUGUAUUUAUCUGAAAUAUUAGGCUUCUCAAACUUGAUGACUUCCCAGUCUGACUUAAUUAUUUUAAUUAUGAAGUUACUUAAAUAUAUGAAAACAUAAUCAUUUGUAUAAACCCUUUAAUAGCUCCUAGAUAACUAUAAACCCCAUCACAUUUACACAUUGAAGAACUGGUCUUAAUUUGAAUUAUUUUUUAGUUUGUAGCUUCAUUUGUAUAUAAUAUGUUGGACAAUGUUGGCUGAA
rnacentral:lncRNA from 1 species